UCCUGAGGUAGCUCAGUUGGUAGAGCAUGAGAUUCUUAAUCUCACAGUUUGAGCCCCACAUUGGGCA